rnacentral:rRNA from 1 species
UACGUAGGGACCAAGCGUUGUUCGGAUUUACUGGGCGUAAAGGGCGCGUAGGCGGCAUGACAAGUCACUUGUGAAAUCUCUGGGCCUAACCCAGAACGGCCAAGUGAUACUGUCACGCUAGAGUGCGGAAGGGGCAAUCGGAAUUCUUGGUGUAGCGGUGAAAUGCGUAGAUAUCAAGAGGAACACCUGAGGUGAAGACGGGUUGCUGGGCCGACACUGACGCUGACAGCGGCGAAAGCCAGGGGAGCAAACGG